UACAGAGGCCACGAGCGUUAGGCGGAAUCACUGGGCUUAAAGCGUGUGUAGGUGGAUCGGUAAGUACCUUGUGAAAUCCCACGACUCAAUCGUGGAACUGCUUGGUAUACUGCCAGUCUUGAGGCACUCAGGGGCGAGCGGAACAGAUGGUGGAGCGGUGAAAUGCGUAGAUAUCAGGAGGAACACCAGCGGCGAAGGCGCCGCUCUGGGCCGUAACUGACGCUGAGGAGCGAAAGCAUGGGUAGCAAACAGG
rnacentral:rRNA from 1 species